ensembl:lncRNA
AUGCAUUGCAAAGUGACUCAGUUAAAGAUAUACACUUUUUUUUUUUUUUUUUUUUUUUUUUUUUUUUUUUUUUUUUUUUUUUUUUUUUUUUUUUUUUUUUUUUUUUUUUUUUUUUUUUUUUUUUUUUUUUUUUUUUUUUUUUUUUUUUUUUUUUUUUUUUUUUUUUUUUUUUUUUUUUUUUUUUUUUUUUUUUUUUUUUUUUUUUUUUUUUUUUUUUUUUUUUUUUUUUUUUUUUUUUUUUUUUUUUUUUUUUUUUUUUUUUUUUUUUUUUUUUUUUUUUUUUUUUUUUUUUUUUUUUUUUUUUUUUUUUUUUUUUUUUUUUUUUUUUUUUUUUUUUUUUUUUUUUUUUUUUUUUUUUUUUUUUUUUUUUUUUUUUUUUUUUUUUUUUUUUUUUUUUUUUUUUUUUUUUUUUUUUUUUUUUUUUUUUUUUUUUUUUUUUUUUUUUUUUUUUUUUUUUUUUUUUUUUUUUUUUUUUUUUUUUUUUUUUUUUUUUUUUUUUUUUUUUUUUUUUUUUUUUUUUUUUUUUUUUUUUUUUUUUUUUUUUUUUUUUUUUUUUUUUUUUUUUUUUUUUUUUUUUUUUUUUUUUUUUUUUUUUUUUUUUUUUUUUUUUUUUUUUUUUUUUUUUUUUUUUUUUUUUUUUUUUUUUUUUUUUUUUUUUUUUUUUUUUUUUUUUUUUUUUUUUUUUUUUUUUUUUUUUUUUUUUUUUUUUUUUUUUUUUUUUUUUUUUUUUUUUUUUUUUUUUUUUUUUUUUUUUUUUUUUUUUUUUUUUUUUUUUUUUUUUUUUUUUUUUUUUUUUUUUUUUUUUUUUUUUUUUUUUUUUUUUUUUUUUUUUUUUUUUUUUUUUUUUUUUUUUUUUUUUUUUUUUUUUUUUUUUUUUUUUUUUUUUUUUUUUUUUUUUUUUUUUUUUUUUUUUUUUUUUUUUUUUUUUUUUUUUUUUUUUUUUUUUUUUUUUUUUUUUUUUUUUUUUUUUUUUUUUUUUUUUUUUUUUUUUUUUUUUUUUUUUUUUUUUUUUUUUUUUUUUUUUUUUUUUUUUUUUUUUUUUUUUUUUUUUUUUUUUUUUUUUUUUUUUUUUUUUUUUUUUUUUUUUUUUUUUUUUUUUUUUUUUUUUUUUUUUUUUUUUUUUUUUUUUUUUUUUUUUUUUUUUUUUUUUUUUUUUUUUUUUUUUUUUUUUUUUUUUUUUUUUUUUUUUUUUUUUUUUUUUUUUUUUUUUUUUUUUUUUUUUUUUUUUUUUUUUUUUUUUUUUUUUUUUUUUUUUUUUUUUUUUUUUUUUUUUUUUUUUUUUUUUUUUUUUUUUUUUUUUUUUUUUUUUUUUUUUUUUUUUUUUUUUUUUUUUUUUUUUUUUUUUUUUUUUUUUUUUUUUUUUUUUUUUUUUUUUUUUUUUUUUUUUUUUUUUUUUUUUUUUUUUUUUUUUUUUUUUUUUUUUUUUUUUUUUUUUUUUUUUUUUUUUUUUUUUUUUUUUUUUUUUUUUUUUUUUUUUUUUUUUUUUUUUUUUUUUUUUUUUUUUUUUUUUUUUUUUUUUUUUUUUUUUUUUUUUUUUUUUUUUUUUUUUUUUUUUUUUUUUUUUUUUUUUUUUUUUUUUUUUUUUUUUUUUUUUUUUUUUUUUUUUUUUUUUUUUUUUUUUUUUUUUUUUUUUUUUUUUUUUUUUUUUUUUUUUUUUUUUUUUUUUUUUUUUUUUUUUUUUUUUUUUUUUUUUUUUUUUUUUUUUUUUUUUUUUUUUUUUUUUUUUUUUUUUUUUUUUUUUUUUUUUUUAUUCCCAUAAAAUAG